GACGAACGCUGGCGGCGUGCUUAACACAUGCAAGUCGAACGGAAAGGCCCUGCUUUUGUUCGGUUCUCGCGUGGCGAACGGGUGAGUAACAAGUGAGUAACCUGCCCUUGCCUUUGUGAUAACUUCAGGAAACUGGGGCUAAUACCGGCUAGGAGCUCCUGCUGCCUGUUUGUGGUUGGCAAGUUUCGGCGGUUGGGGAUGGACUCGCGGCUUAUCAGCUUGUUGGUGGGGUAGUGGCUUACCAAGGCUUUGACGGGUAGCCGGCCUGAGAGGGUGACCGGCCACAUUGGGACUGAGAUACGGCCCAGACUCCUACGGGAGGCAGCAGUGGGGAAUAUUGCACAAUGGGCGGAAGCCUGAUGCAGCAACGCCGCGUGCGGGAUGACGGCCUUCGGGUUGUAAACCGCUUUCGCCUGUGACGAAGCGUGAGUGACGGUAAUGGGUAAAGAAGCACCGGCUAACUACGUG
rnacentral:rRNA from 1 species